rnacentral:rRNA from 1 species
GACGAACGCUGGCGGCGUGCCUAAUACAUGCAAGUCGAACGCACUCUCGUUUAGAUUGAAGGAGCUUGCUCCUGAUUGAUAAACAUUUGAGUGAGUGGCGGACGGGUGAGUAACACGUGGGUAACCUGCCCUAAAGUGGGGGAUAACAUUUGGAAACAGAUGCUAAUACCGCAUAAAACCUAACACCGCAUGGUGUAGGGUUGAAAGAUGGUUUCGGCUAUCACUUUAGGAUGGACCCGCGGUGCAUUAGUUAGUUGGUGAGGUAAAGGCUCACCAAGACCGUGAUGCAUAGCCGACCUGAGAGGGUAAUCGGCCACACUGGGACUGAGACACGGCCCAGACUCCUACGGGAGGCAGCAGUAGGGAAUCUUCCACAAUGGACGAAAGUCUGAUGGAGCAAACGCCGCGUGAGUGAAGAAGGUUUUCGGAUCGUAAAACUCUGUUGUUGGAGAAGAAUGUAUCUGAUAGUAACUGAUCAGGUAGUGACGGUAUCCGAACCAGAAAGCCACGG